rnacentral:tRNA from 2 species
GGGUGUAUAGCUCAGUUGGUAGAGCAUUGGGCUUUUAACCUAAUGGUCGCAAGUUCAAGUCCUGCUAUACCCA